AUUGAACGCUGGCGGCAGGCUUAACACAUGCAAGUCGAACGAGUGGCGGACGGGUGAGUAAGGCUUGGGAAUCUGGCUUAUGGAGGGGGAUAACUACGGGAAAAUGUAGCUAAUACAGGUUACCAUAGGAGGGGCCCAAGUGGGAUUAGGUAGUUGGUGAGGUAAAGGCUAACCAAGCCGACGAUCUCUAGCUGGUCUGAGAGGAUGACCAGCCACACGGGGACUGAGACACGGCACAGAUUCCUACGGGAGGCAGCAGUGGGGAAUAUUGCGCAAUGGGGGCAACCUGACGCAGCCAUGCCGCGUGAAUGAAGAAGGCCUUCGGGUUGUAAAGUUCUUUCGGUAGCGAGGCGUUAACUACAGAAGAAGCACCGGCUAACUCCGUGCCAGCAGCCGCGGUAAUA
rnacentral:rRNA from 1 species